rnacentral:rRNA from 1 species
AUUGAACGCUGGCGGCAUGCCUUACACAUGCAAGUCGAACGGUAACAGAUCUUCGGAUGCUGACGAGUGGCGAACGGGUGAGUAAUACAUCGGAACGUGCCUAGUAGUGGGGGAUAACUACUCGAAGGAGUGGCUAAUACCGCAUGAGAUCUACGGAUGAAAGCAGGGGAUCGCAAGAUCUUGUGCUACUAGAGCGGCCGAUGGCAGAUUAGGUAGUUGGUGGGAUAAAAGCUUACCAAGCCGACGAUCUGUAGCUGGUCUGAGAGGACGAUCAGCCACACUGGGACUGAGACACGGCCCAGACUCCUACGGGAGGCAGCAGUGGGGAAUUUUGGACAAUGGGCGCAAGCCUGAUCCAGCAAUGCCGCGUGCAGGAUGAAGGCCUUCGGGUUGUAAACUGCUUUUGUACGGAACGAAAAGCCCUGGGUUAAUACCCUGGGGUCAUGACGGUACCGUAAGAAUAAGCACCGGCUAACUACGUGCCAGCCGCCGCCGUAAAAC